CACACUGGCCCCUGCCACACUGUCUCCCUGGGGGUCUGUGAACCCAGCAAACAGAGUCACUCCCACCUCAGGGCUUCAUGCACUCCCCUCCGCCUGCCCGAAUUCAACUUCUGACCACCAUGGUCUGCCUGAGCCCCCUUCCAUGUUUGCCUUUUUAUGCCAAGGUCACCUUCUUGGGGAGAUCUUCCCUGGACACCUCCCUUACAUCGCAAUCCCUGUCUCCCCCACGCUCCCUGUUCCCGCCCCUGGGCUGUUUCUCCCCAGCGCCUGUCACCUGCUCACAUGCCUUCUCCUCCACCUACUCGUCUGGCUUGUGCUGUCUGCCCACCAAGAUGCCGGCUCCGGGAAAGCAGGGAGAUUUGUCUGCUGGUUCCCAGCUGUGCCUGGCACCUAGUAGACACGGAACAGGAUGCAAGACACACAGGCAGAGCCAACUGGCCCGGAGUCCACCUUCUCGAGCUGCAGAUGCCACUGUCCAAUCAGGAGCGACUGCAUCUGCCAGGCAGCCAAUCCCUGUGAGCCGACAUCCUUAGGGAGAUAGUAUUUGGAGAAACGGAAGCAUGGGGCAUUUAGAAAGGCCUGCCCAACUUGUCACGGAGCAAAGAGAAGCGAGAUGUGAAAAUGCUUGGAGCCCAGGAAGGAAUCCGGUCAUUAAAUCCUAGCUCUUCCCCUUGACGUGGUUGGCUGACAAGGACAGGGGACCCAGGAAGGUCGGGAGGCUCCCUCUAUGGGCAUUUACUUUCUUCCUACCAACUUACUACUUUGAAAACUUUCAAACCUCAUAAAAAUGGAAAUAAUUGGAAUGGCAAUAAAUCCCCAUAUACUCUUCAUCCCAA